AUGGAAACCUGGCUGUGGAUUAUUAUUGCUGCACUUCUAUCUGAGUGUAAUGGAGAAGACAAAGUGAUUCAGACUGGAGAGGAUGUUUUGCCACUGAAGGACUCACAGUUAGUCUUCGCUGUACAUUUGAGACCACUGACACUAGUCCCAGUUUGUUCUGGCACAAACAACAAAUCAAUGACUUCCCGAGGUUCAUGCUACGACGAUUUACAAUUGGAGGAGAUAAUGCUGCAGAGUUCCACAAAGACCGAUUUGAUGCCCAUAUACAAAGCACAUCAGUUCCUCUGAGGAUCCAGAACCUGCAGCUGUCUGACCCUGCUCUGUACUACUGUGCUCUGAGGCCCACAGUGACUGGAAACACAGACUCCCUGUACAAAAACCUGCUGAGCAUAAAACACAAUUCCCUCUACCCCUGAAACCAGCACACAGACAUGAAUGACUAAACACGAUAACUCAUCACAACAGCGAACUCCUAAUUAAUUAUAAAUUUUCACCAUAACCCGAUAUCUCAACAUUUGUAUGCAAUUUUUGCAUUUACAUUUUCUUGUUUAAAGUGUUCACCAUAGUUUUAUUUUAUUUGUGUCAAAUUUAUGUCUUAUUAAAUUAAUAAUUUGAUUCUGAAGGUGAGGUCUUACAUCCACCCCUAGAGGUCAGUAUUAUCAAUAGGUGUUUUAUUAUCUCUUCAACAUGUUGGUCCUUGUGUCUUUAAAAGCUGGAACCAUGAA